AAACUGGGCUCCUUGUGGAUUAUUUCCUCUUCUUUCAAGUCUGACCAAUCACCUUUCAUGCCGACUGCCUCCUAUUCAUGCUUUCUCAUACAUGUUCCCUGAUAUGAUUUGGCUCUGUGUCCCCACCCAAAUCUCAUGUUGAAUUGUAAUCCUCAAUGUUGGUGGAGGAACCUGGUGGGAGGUGAUUGAAUCAUGGGGGUGGAUUUCUUUCUUGUUGUCCAGUGUGUCCUCAUCUUGGAUUUUUUUUCAAGGGGAGCCAGAAAUCUGGAUUUGCAUGUGAAAACUCCUGAUUUUUAAAUUGUAUCAGCUAGUUCAAAUUUUUCAAAAUCACUUGACAAACCAAGAAAAAAAAAACCCAACUACAUCUGCAAACUAGAUUUAGCCUAUAAAAUGCCAGUUGUUUUUUUUUUUUUUACCUUUGAUGUACAGACUAAACCUUUUGAAGAGGGUCUGUCAGCCUCAGUGACGAAGCACAGUUUUUUGCGUAGACAGAGUUCAGGACUUAAUCUGCAUGGCCAUAUGGUGUGAUGAACUCAGUCUUAACUGGGGAUUGAGUGACUUGGGUUCUAGUUUCAGUUUUCUAUGAAAAUUACUUUACUUACCUGGGCCUCAGUUUCCCCAUAUGCAUUAAGAUACCUUCUGAAGAAGUUCUUCUCAUAUCAGAACACCUAGGAUUGUAUAUUGAGCAUAAAAGUACGUUAGGUGCUUCUUUGGGACUAGACAAACUCCUCAGCGGGGCAGGGAGAAUUGAGGGAUGCUGGUUGUGGGACAGAGAUUCCAGGCUUGUAGGCUGCAGCUGUCUCUCCUUCCACUCCCUUCACUCAUAAAAGAGAAGCUGUGGCUUUCCCCAAGCCAUCGUUCUAACAAUAUCCAUUUGCCUGCUGGGGAAGUCCAGGCCUGAUGCUUUGCGGUCCUCAGGCUUCUUGAGAAAAAGUCCACUUUCUUAAAAUAAAGCAUGAUGUGGCAGGGAGACUUCAGCCCUGGCGUUUGUUACCCUGGGCUUAUGAUGUGGCUCUGCCACUUCUUAACUAGGAACUUCAUCUUCACUUUUGUCAUAGGACUUCCUGCCUCAUGGGAAUUGUGACAAGAAGCAUCCACUGUUUCAAGUGUCUAACAUGGCCUCUGGCAUAUAGUGUGAAAUGAACACUAAUUACUACCAUCCUUGUGAUUUAUUAAGGCAUUCACCUGUUGAGAAGUGCUGGGUAGCCAGCAGCCCAAAUAUUCAUUAAAAUUUGAUCUUAUGUCUCCUUGUGUUUAAUUUGGUUUAGUUUACUCUGUUAUUUUAGAGAUUCUGCCAGCAUUAAUAUUUCUGCAAGAUCCAGACAGGUCUGGACACAGAAAUUUUGAUCUAAUCCAAAUUUGUGGGCUCAGGAAUGCUUCUAGCGAGAGAUGCUACUAUAUAUUCUGCUGAAGAAGAUUCACAUACCAGGAAGAAGAAGAUUUCAACUUUGAUUAUUUGAAGAGGCAACGAAGUAGUCUAAUCUGUGCUAUUAAUUUGUUUAAAGAUAACAUGUGCAAGUUCCCUAAAGACAGCAUAAGUAACUAUAUAUUAGAGUCUGAGACAAAGGGAAAAAGUCAGUAAUACUGAUCUUGUCUUUAUUUAAAAUUUUGAUAUUUUGUUCAUUCAUCAUGGAUUUUUGCAUUAAUUUUGAUUUAUAAAAUGUUGCAUUUAACUCGUUUUUUUUUCUUUUUUCUUUUUUCUUUUUUUUUUUUGAGACAGAGUCUCACUCUAUCCCCUAGGCUGGAGUGCAGUGGUGCAAUCUUGGCUCACUGCAACCUCCGCUUCCUGGGUUCAAGUGAUUCUCAUGCUUCAGCCUUCUGAGUAGCUGAGAUUACAGACAUGCACCCACCAUGCAUAGCUGAUUUUUGUAUUUUUAGUAGAGACGGGGUUUCCCAUGUUGGCUGGGCGGGUCUUGAACUCCUGACCUCAGGUGAUCCGCCCGCCUCGGCCUCCCAAAGUGCUGGGAUUACAGGCGUGAGCCACCACAUCCGGCCCCUAAUUCUCAUUUUAAUCUUAAUGUGCUAAGCAGCUUGAUAUAUGACUAGGCUUCUCUGGGAUUGUGUUUCUUUGAUUUUAAAAUAAAAUAUAAGUACAUUUAUACUUUUUGCAAAAGCAUUUUUGAAUACCUAAAUCCUUUCUAAAAUUAUUACAUGAAAAUUUCAUUUUAAUUACUGAAGUUUGGGUGUUUUUUGUUUUGUUUUGUUUUGUUUUUGCAUCGCCUAUAAGUACAAAGACAAUUAGUAAGAGUUUUUGGUUGCAAACAACAGAAUUCACUGUAGCUACUUCAAUUGUAGUCACUGAACUGUAUUGGUUUUUACACAGAGUUGGACAAUCAGGCUUGGAGGCUACUGAGCUGGGUAGAAUACCUCAAUUAUUGCUCCAGGAGAGUCUCUGCUGUUACAGCACAGCAGGGGAACUACCACUGGAACCACCACAACCUUUGUCUCUGCAAACUAAGUGUCUCUCUGUCACCCUCAUCAGAAUUCCUCCACUCCGCACUCUUUCUUCCACAAGGCUCUCCUACAAUCAAAGUCUGGCAUGGUCUAUCUGAGGAGGCCAGGGCCAUGCUUGUGUCCAGCUAUAGACAACUUAGGAAAGUGAGUUUCUGGUUUCUUCCUGGAGAAGUGGGAUUCAUAAAUCUGGAAAUCUUCAAACCAGGGAAGGGUACUGAGAAAGUGCUGGCAGCUGGAUGACUAGGGUUCAUAUGAGUACAUUUUUUUCUGGAUAACUUUGCAGGGUCCCACAUAUAAUUGUGCAAGUGGUACAAUAUAUACAGGCCCCAUUGUAGUGGGGUGGUUUCUGCCAGCUCAGGCAGCAUCAUGGGCAUGUGUGCAAAUAUGAGGACAAGGGACUAAAUGUACACGUGGAGAAUCAUUCUCCUCUUCCCUGAAAUCACAUUCAUACUUCAAGCCACCCCUUUCCCCUGCCCCUCCUGGGAGAAAGUUGGAAGCAAAAGUGUUUGUGAAGAUUCAGGCUGAGAUACUUACUUCUGGUGUCCCCAUCGCUCACUUGAACCCAUAGAUAUCCCCCAUUUCCUUACCGUAAUCUGCUAAUAACAUGACUGUCCUGCCCCACGGGAUGCUCUCUGGUCUCAUUAAGUCUGAAAAUGCUUGGGAAAUGCAUCUGCCAAGGACUACAGCC
rnacentral:lncRNA from 10 species